rfam:Aspergillus wentii DTO 134E9 unplaced genomic scaffold ASPWEscaffold_2, whole genome shotgun sequence.
GACACGGUGCCCGAGUGGUUAAGGGGAUUGACUCGAAUUCGGAAGAAAAUUCUGACAUCAAUUACAUUCGUGUGCGCAUGUUCGAAUCAUGCCCGUGUCG